GGGCGGUUUCGGCGUGAGGGGCACUCUGUGUGCCCUCUUCAGCUCCCUCGCGCACCGUACUGAUGCCGAGCCGGAAGAUGAUGUCAUCUUCCGGCUCCGGCAUCAGUACGGUGCGCGAGGGAGCUGAAGAGGAAGCACACAGAGUGCUCCCUCGCGCGCCAGCUUUC